GUAUUUCAUUCUUUAAUUGGAAUAGGGUGUAAACAAAAAAAGUGAGGUUCAAAUACGAAUCAAAGUUUUACUUUAUUGAAGUCCAUUGAUUGACGUAAAUUCUACAAUCUGAGUAUUAUUUCGAAUUCUUUAUAUCACAUAUUAUUUUUUCUCGAACUUGCCAAAUACCAAAUUAUUCUUUAUCAAUUAUUUGAAAAAUCCAAUUAACAAUGUCAAGUCUCAAUAUUUUUAUCAGACUGUUAAAUGUCACAAUAAAAUGACGAGUUAGACAUUCAUUGUUUGUGAAGUUGCCUUAUUAAUCUUAUAUUUAAUAAAGAUUUGAAAUUUUGAUCUUCUAUGGAUUACGGAGAUUCUAUACAUGUGAAGAAAAUCUUUGACCAAAUAAGGUGAGCAGGUAUAUUCAAAAAUUCUUGAAAACCAUAAUAUAGAACAGAAGACAAUAACAAUGAUAGAAAGAAGUAAUGUACAAAACUGAUAAAAACGAGCAAAAAACGAAGUAUCUAAGAAAUUUACAACAAAGAUAGGUAUGAAACAAAGACCACUUCUUUCCUACUUAAUAAUCGAUGAAACAAGAAAAGAGUCAGAUGGCAAAAUUCAAUAUAAAGAAUUUGUGGAUGGAACUAACAUAUUUAACAGAAAUGAUAUUUGCAGAUGAUUUAGUGUUAUUAACGAAAGCUCAAGCAGAUACACAACAUAAUCGGAAAUGAAUAUAAAAUUAAAUACAAAUAAAACUAACAGCAUGACAAUCGAAAGACAAGAUGAAGUAGUUAAUAAUCAAAUAAUGGAAAAACCAUUUGAACUAGUAAAACAGAUAGAUGGGGAAUUGAAUAACCCAUUGAAUAUCGUAAUAUGAAUUUACGAUAUGAAUAUGUCCAUUAUUUUACCUACUACCAAUAAUACUAAUUAUUUACUCAAAAUUAGUAUAUAUUCCUGAAAUUAGUGAUAUUAGAAUCAUGUAAGAAGCAAGCGUUGCGCUCAUUGUUGAUUUAUUUUGUGAACUGUCAAUUUUGACGCGUUCACUUCAGUUUGGUAUAAUUGUAUCGACACGAGUUCCAACUAUGGAUUCUGAUAUAGAACUUGCUACAAAUAACGCAAUACAAACCCUAGUACCCGCUAAAUCCCGCAAUAGAUACAAAAAAGAAUAAAAGCGAUUCGAAGACUGGUGAGGUUCAAAAAAAGUCCGUGAUAUAUCGGAGAAAAUUUUAUUAGCUAAUUUUGCUGGGAAAGUUGGAAAAAAAAAGGCAUCAUCAAAAUGGACAAAUUAUAGUAUGCUGCGAACAAUGAUAUAUGUGAAGGAAACAGAAGCCGAAAAAAUCCGGUAUAUUUUCAAAGGAAAAUAUACACAGAUUGUUGAAAGAAGCCAAUGAUGAUCAAUUCUUGACGAUGAAGGUUUUCUUAAUCGUGAGUGUGUUUGGCGCCUGCCGAAGAGAAGAAUUGAUGAAGUUAAAAAUUGGUGAUGAAGUAACGUUAAUAAUGAUCAAAAUACCGAAUACUAAAACUAAAAUUCAUAGAGAAUUUGCUAUUACUAGAGGAAACAUCGCUAGUUUUGACUGCUUGAAUAACGUCCGAAAUUGUGUUAGACUUCGACCUCAAAAUAUAGUCCAUGAUCGGUUUUUAAUUUUAUAUAGAAAUGGAAAAUGUUUUCUUCAACCAAUUUUCUCAACCAAUUGGUAUCAAUACUUUUGGCGCAUUCCAAAAGAAAUAGCAACGUUUCUGGAGCUGGUGUUGAUAUGCACAUUUUGAAGAGACAAAGUGGAUGGAAAUCCAAUAGUGUCGUUGAAGGAUUUUGUAGAAACAUCCUUAGAAAACAAAACAAAUAUAGCUACUAAAAUAAUAAUCGUUCUACAAAAAAUUCAAUUGAAAAUUCAAAACUACAAUUCUUCAAUUGCCUCCACGUCAGCUGGAAUAAACAUUGUACAGGUGUCGUGUUUAAUUAUUAUAAUAAAUGAAGUUUAAUUUUUGA